GCUGAGCCGACCGUCGGGAUCCCCCAAUCAUAUGACAUGACGAGUCGAUUUCAUCCGGCUCUCUCCUCUGGAAGCCCCAAGGGCCAAAUUCCAUGCCCCCAUGGCGAAAAGCUCCCACCUUUUCCUCCCCACGCCUCUUUAUUUCCCACCUCCCCUCGUCUCUCCGUCUCUUCGCCCCACUGGCCUCGGCCUGCCCCUCCUCCAAGUCCACCCAUUCGCCUCGAUCGGCGCCGCCGGGUUCUCCAGCCUCCCUCCAGUCCCGCGAUCCCAGAGGACAUUUAAUUGCGUGAUAUGAAGUCUGUUUGCGGAUUCUUUUUUAUGCAUAAGCUGCAGUGCACAUGAUUUUUGCCCGUAGUGCUGCAACAUCACCGUUUCUCGUUUGGGACCAGUAAGCCUAAUGCUCAUGGACAGAGCUGAUACUUCAGGCUUUCUCGGUAGUGGCUCGCAUUGCAAGAACAUUGACGUGUACUUCCAUUUUGUGUACACUAUAUACUUUCUCGGUGGUGAAGUUGUUAAACUGGGGUUCUGAUUGGUCAGCAGAAGCUAUCGGCCACUGGGCAGCGCUCAAGUCAUUUUCUGUCCUAAUCCUACCUUAUAUAUAUUAUCUGGGAUGGACCUUACUAUGACAAAUCUUUGUGUUCGUGGGAAGGAACACAUAGCUGCUUCAUUCUCUCAAGUUGAACCCGCUGCCGCAAAUUGCAGGAGUGAAGCCCUAGAUGUAGCAUCAGUUAAAGUUGGUUGCCUCGGGAGCUCGGAAGCAGCUGAGACUUCUAGAAAAUCAUUCGAGCAGAGAAGUCGAAGUUUCCCUGUUCCUGAUGAUGACUGCAGGCUGGUCCUAGGACUUGGACCAAUGCCAAAUCUGUAUUCUGCUGACAGUCAAUCAUCUGGUGGGAACAGAGUUAAAUUAUCUGAAACUUUGUUCACUCCACAUUGUACCGCAAGUGAUUCUGGAUUAGUGUUGGCGGCUUCAAGAGGCAGCUCAAGAAAUUUGCAGUCCACGAUAGUGCCUGGCCGCAAGGAGCAUUCACAUAAAAGGAAAAAUGGUAUUGUGUUCCCACUUAUUGAUGAGGGAUCAACUUCAGCCAAAAGGAGAUCAGGUGAUUAUGAGCUGUCACCUCAGUUUGCUCCAAGAUCAGAUGUUCUUUUUAUUGAUAGAACAACGGCAGAGCCUGAUGUCCAGCAACACCUUGGAACCGGAUAUGAGGCCGAUCGUGAUUUAUCUCUUGAUCAGCACGGGGUCGAGCUUAGCCCCGAGCCUUCAGCAACAACUGGUUGUUCUUUUGCUGCAACGUCAGACACACUAGAUAGCACUGAUAACGGGGAGCAGAAAAAUCAUCAGCGCCAUCUCAAGAAGUGUAGGUUCAAUGGGUGUUCCAAGGGCGGAAGGGGUGCAUCAGGACUCUGCAUUUCCCAUGGCGGCGGUCACCGGUGCCAGAAGCCAGGUUGCAACAAAGGGGCCGAGAGCCGAACGGCGUACUGCAAAUCUCACGGAGGAGGAAAGCGGUGCCAAGAGCUAGGCUGCACCAAAAGCGCCGAGGGGAAGACAGAGUUCUGCAUCGCCCACGGCGGCGGGCACCGGUGCGGGGUUCAGGAGUGCUCCAAAGCAGCACGGGGAAGAUCAGGGCUUUGCAUAAAACACGGCGGUGGGAAGAGGUGCAUGACGGAGGGCUGCACCCGGAGCGCCGAAGGGUAUCCCGGGGUGUGCAUCGCGCACGGAGGUGGUCGCCGGUGUCAGUUCCCGGACUGCAGCAAGGGAGCACAGGGAGGCACCCUGUUCUGCAAGUCCCAUGGCGGAGGCAAACGGUGCGUAUCCGAAGGUUGCACCAAAGGGGCCGAGGGCAGCACGUUGCUGUGCAAAGGGCAUGGCGGUGGGAAGAGGUGCCUCUUCGAGGGAGACGCGGCGUGUCCUAAGAGUGUUCACGGCGGGACCAGCUUCUGCGUGGUGCACGGAGGGGGCAAGCGCUGCGCCGCGCCAGGGUGCACCAAGAGCGCCCGCGGUCGCACCGAUUGCUGCGUCAGGCAUGGCGGUGGCAAGCGCUGUAAAUCUGAUGGGUGCGACAAGAGCGCGCAGGGGAGCACCGACUUCUGCAAGGCGCACGGCGGUGGCAAGCGGUGCGCCUGGAGCGCCGGCUGUGAGAAGUUUGCCAGGGGGAGGAGCGGUCUAUGCUCUGCUCAUGGAAACCUGACGGCCUCAAAGCAGGGCCUAAGCAUGGUCGGGCCUGGCCUCUUCAGCGGGAUCGUCGUCUCUUCUUCCUCGACGGUGGGCAGCGGCAUGGACCGUGUGAUCUCUUCUUCUCUCCCCGGCGCCUCGUCAGAUUGCUGCGGCGAGUCGUUGGAACACUUGCAGAGUGGCAGGCUCAUACCGCCACAGCUGCUGGUUCCUGGCUCCCUGCAGAAACCAUCGUCUUCGUUUAACCCGGCGGGCAAUGGCCAAGAAGAAGAAGGUGGCGGUAUCCGGAACCAGAGCUUCGGGUUCGUCGUGCCGGAGGGAAGGGUGCACGGCGGAGGGCUCAUGUCGAUGCUCCGAGCAGGACACCUGGGAAGCAACAUCAACAACCCGGAAUCCUGAAAAUAGCACAUCUUCUGUGUGUGCUUUAAGGGAGCUUCAGUGUACUUGCUGUAUUAUAUGAUUCUGAGGGAGUAGUAAAUACUGUGAGCGUGUAGUCCUUGUGUACAGAGCUUCAGUGUACUUGUUCAGCUGUAUUUCAUUUGAACUGCUCCAUAAACGAAAUUGCAUUAUCAUAAACGAAAUUACAGUCGUUGAAAUUCCGAAAUCUUCUAUACUUGCUGUAUUUGUAUCAAAAACUGUUCCG
rnacentral:rRNA from 1 species